GCGGGUGUGGUUCAAUGGUAGAAUGUGAGAUUCCCAAGCUUGGGACGUGGGUUCGAUUCCCACCAUCCGCCCCA
rnacentral:tRNA from 1 species